rnacentral:sRNA from 1 species
UUAGGAUGAAAGUCCAUGUUUCGUAAUUGAAGUUGGACGUG